ensembl:lncRNA
AAUACAACGUAUAAGUUUUAAUGCAUUUUCAUCCAAUAUACAAGCAUUUGUGAGUAUCAGCUACUGAGCUAUAGUUCAUAGCAAAAUAACAAAGCAUCAAGCUAGUUGUGCAAAUCCUUUUCUUAGUUUCUUGGCAAGCAACAGAAAGAACUGAAAAAUAUCUACUUAAUUAAUUUCAAACACACAGCAGAAGCUUGGUAAGUACAUUUCAUACAUGAAGAACAACCAAAACCCAUUUUCAUCAAGUAGCACAUACAUGAGAAGCCUGCAUCUACAGUUAGAGUAAUUCUAGUGCAAGAUUUAUAUGUAUAAAACUACUUUCUUCUAGUAACCUAUGAGGCCUUUUGAUAAAUCCAAGAGUUAUCAGACUAUAAUUCUAAUCAAGGUGACUUCUGCUUUAUCACAUUUGCUGUCCUUAUUUGCCAAGCAAAGAUACUUUGUUGAUGAAUGCAUGCUUCUCUAAAAACCAGGAAAAAUCUUGCAAAUAAUGUUUUAGGAGUGCAAUGGGAUAGUAUGGGAGAACUAGUUAGAAUGCCAAAGGAUCAAACCCAAAAUCUUCCCUCUGACACCUGCCACAUAUCAGGAGAAACUCUCUCUGCCUGAAACACCAGGCAACCCCCUGUCCUAUCCUACUAAAAUAAUCAAAAAGACAAAUAUUCUGAUACUGGUCUACAGUCACCACCUCUUCAGGGCAAGAACUCUUGUUUGCCGUGUGACAUCCAGUCCUUUUUGUAUCUUUAUGUGAAAUCACUAAUAAAUUAUAUAAUAAAAAAAAAAUUUGUAAAAAUCUAAGCCAUAAGAACUGGGAGUGAUUUUCUAUACUAAGGAGUAGGUUGAUUUCCUUCAUUUUUAAUGGGCAGCACUCAGGUAGGGGUAAGAUUUUUAUAGGUAGAAAAGUAGGCUUAUACUUGCAGAAACCUCUCUGAUGGCUCUGCUUGCUGAAAGCCCCUCCUUUUGUUCAUCAAAAGGGAGCAAAAAAUGAGAAAGUUCAAAUGGAUGGCACUGGUUCACCAUGACCGAAAAAACUCUGGUGUCAUUUGACUCCACAAUGAUGUUUUUCGAUUGUCCAGCUAUCGGAUUUUGUUACAGAGCCCUUUCCACUAAAGCUCCUUCAGUUCUAGUACCUCACGAGGACAGCCAGCUGGGAACUCCAUCACUAUUGUAAGGCAACUUGAAUAGUGAGAGCUUUGCACAGUAAUUAUUACAAAACCAUUCUCACAGACUUCUUAGCAUCAGAAUUUCUAACAAUGGCCUACAACAUUACUGUUUUAUGUGCCAUAUAUUAUUCUACAAAAGGAGAGAUUUCUAGUUUCUAAAAAAUAAACUAUUUUAGGGCAUGAACACACUUCAGCUCACAGAAUCACUUUCAACCUUUUGAAAAAGGAAAAAUAAGGCAGCACUACAAAGGGAAUCUAACAGCCUGCCUCCAGGCUUGUGGACAGAGCUGCUCAUUGAUUUGCAACUAAUGGUUUGGAAACUCCGAUUACUGAAUGUUUACUAAGAAAAAUUCUGAUUAUAUUUUAGGCAAGCUUUUUUAUCUGCUACCUUUUAAUGUGUUAAUUUACUCUACUGAAAAGCCAAAGGGCCAAUUUCACCACUCUGAUCUGGCUUCUAUUGCUGAAGCAUCAUUGGAUGUGCACCGAAGGCACUAUUCAUCUGUGGAGAGAUCACUGAGUAAUAUUGUCAAACGCUUUUGAGUUGCACAUCCUUGUGGAAAAGAUAAAGGGAUUGUGAAGAGAAUGAGAAGGAAGAGAACAUCAGAGAUGAAGAAAACUAGAUAAAGGGCCAGGGAGAAACUGUUUGAUGUAAACAGAGUGACAGAUUAAGAACUCUCAUUAAAGCAUGCAGUUAUUUGCCUAUAAGCGAUUCAGACAGGGAAGUUGUUUACAACUCUGCCAAAAUCAACAGCAGAUGAAAAAAAAUCAUCAAUACUGGGAUUUUAAAUAAUAUUAAAUCUACUGUAUCCAAAAACUCACUAGGACUAUGCAAUGGAAAUACACAGCUCAGUGCCUUUAUAUUCUUUGUGACACUAAGUAAACAAGGUAAUGUACACUGACAUGCACGUCCUGCAGAAGCUAUUACUAAUAUGAGUAUGCCACUACUUGCUCCUUGGUUACGUUAGCAUGAAUAUAGCUCUGAAAAUACAUACUGGUGCCAAGAUUUUGUUACUGGUGUGGAGGAAAAACUAACUUUGUGAGGAGUGUGUAAUCUCAGGUAUGACCGUAUGUUAAGACAGAACCUGCUGUGACUUUACCAAGUUAGAAAAACAAAAUUUGGAGAUGUGCUGGAAAACUUAUGCUAUCACAAAAAGCAACCUGCACCAGAAAAUGUCCAUCAGAAAUUAUCCAGAUGCUAAGUAAAAAGCAACUGCUUUUGGAGCAGAUGGCAAUGGUCAAAUGAAUCAAAAGAACCUAGUCCCUUGCUCAACAUCAGUGAGG